GCUAAGCCUCUCCUGGCUUCCUGAAGGCCAGCCAGAGCCGUCUUGUGGACGAAGGCUGUGGCUGUUGUCAGCCAGAAGCAGAAGGCUCUAAAUGGGCCAGCACUGGCACUGUGAAAGGCGUAGCAGAUGCUGGGGUGCGAGCCUGCAUCCAGGGAAUGUUUUAAAGGAUGUCCAGGGAGGUUUGUUGCCCUGCAAGCUCUGGACCUGUUUUGGAACCGUCGGGAGGUCUGUGAGACAGCAGCAGUGCAAUCCCUGUGAGGCCCUGGGGGUCCCGCCCCCCCUCCCGGAGCCCGGCUUUGGUAAGCACUGCCAGGAGCUCCCUGCGAUCCUCUGGGCACUGUGGUCCUGUCACCCCUGGAACCUGCUUUCUGCCCAUCCAAACGGGCCAAGGAGAGGCUCGGCCACCCCUGGCUGCUCUCCAUCUAUGUGAAAAGGACCAGAGGUUCCGCUGAGGUUUUUUUUGACAAAGCCAGGGAAGACUCGGAAGUUCUGAGGACGAAAAGUCAGACUUGGAGACGUGCAAGGAGAGAGGACUCCGGAAAGGGAGAGACCGGAAGAUCCCGCGGAGUCCCCGAAACAUGCCCUGGCGUGGAGAUAGGGACCCGAGGGCAAGGGACCCAAGGUUGGAGCUCUGCGCGCCGGGCCCUGCAGCGAGUCCCCGCUCCCCGGGGCGCUCACCUUGCGGCCGUUCACAUAGAAGAGCAGCUCGGAGGCCGGUUCCAUGGCGGCAGACGGGUCGGGUCCGGGCGGCCUGAGCUCCGGGGGCUGCGGGACAGGGCGUGGGGAGUUUUCAGUCCUCCCAUACACACCUCAGGCUCUGGGGGGAAAACGUCUGCCCUCUUAUACACCUGCGCUCCGGGUGGGUUGAGAAACUUUGGCAAAUAUGUAACUGGCUGGGGCGCGGUCCUCUCCAGGGCGCACAGGGUCCGGGCCACGCCCCUGCUGGCCACUGAGCCUCCAGGGUCAGCGCUGCAACACCGCCUGAUCGGUUUCCUAUGAUUGCAUUCUUUAAAGUCGCUUUUCAGCUCUUUGUGAGGUCCUCCCCGUCCAUCAGACCUGCCACACUAAGUACCA